GACCAGCUAAGUUUGUUUUGGUUAUAAGCUUUUGUGUGCAUCUGAAAAGGUAUCUGAAGAAGUGUGCAUGCGCAUGAAAGCUUAUAACCAGAACAAACUUAGUUGGUC